UGAUAUUGAUGAAGUGUGCAUCCAUAUGAGG
rnacentral:piRNA from 1 species